rnacentral:rRNA from 1 species
CCUACGGGUGGCAGCAGUGAGGAAUAUUGGUCAAUGGACGAAAGUCUGAACCAGCCAAGUAGCGUGAAGGAUGAAUGCCCUAUGGUUUGUAAACUUCUUUUAUGAAGGAAUAAAACGAGUCACGUGUGCCUUUUUGCAUUUACUUUAUGAAUAGUGGUCGGCUAACCUCGUGCCAGCAGCCGCGGUAAUACGGAGGGUCCGAGCUUUAUCCGGAUUUGUUGGGUUUAAAGUAAGCUUAGAUGGGUUGUUAAGUCAGUUGUGAAAGUUUGCGGCUCAACCGUAAAAUUGCAAUUGAUACUGGCAGUCUUGAGUACAGUUGAGGUGAGCAGAAUUCGUGGUGUAGCGGUGAAAUGCUUAGAUAUCACGAAGAACACCGAUUGCGAAGGCAGCUUACUAAACUGUGACUGACAUUGAUGCUCGAAAGUGUGGGUAUCAAACAGGAUUAGAUACCCCUGUAGUC